AAGUCCCGUAACGAGCGCAACCCCUGCUGCUAGUUGCCAACGGUUCGGCCGGGCACUCUAGUGGGACUGCCGGUGAUAAACCGGAGGAAGGUGGGGAUGACGUCAAGUCCUCAUGGCCUUUAUGUCCAGGGCUACACACGUGCUACAAUGGCCGGUACAAACCGUUGCGAGAACGCAAGUUGGAGCAAAUCGGAUAAAGCCGGUCUCAGUUCGGAUUGGGGUCUGCAACUCGACCCCAUGAAGUUGGAAUCGCUAGUAAUCGCGGAUCAGCACGCCGCGGUGAAUACGUUCCCGGGCCUUGUACACACCGCCCGU
rnacentral:rRNA from 1 species